UGAGCAAUCUGCCCUUCACAUCGGAAUAACCAUUGGAAACGAUGGCCAAUACCGAAUAUGACUUCGGAUCGCAUGAUCUGAAGUGGAAAGCUCCGGCGGUGAAGGAUGAGCUCGCGGCCUAUCAGCUUGUUGGUGAGGUAAUGCUCACAAAGCGAUGGACGGGUAGCCGGCUGAGAGGGUGACCGGCCACACGUGGGACUGACGACGACCGGCACGUACCG
rnacentral:rRNA from 1 species